CAAAGCUCAGUGUUAGGGCAUUUGACUGCAGAUCAAGAGGUCCCCCGUUCAAAUCCGGGUG
rnacentral:tRNA from 1 species